rnacentral:rRNA from 1 species
ACGGAGGGUGCAAGCGUUAUUCGGAUUUAUUGGGCGUAAAGGGCGCGUAGGCGGCUUUUUAAGUCAGAUGUGAAAUCCCGGGGCUUAACCUCGGAAGUGCAUUUGAAACUGUGGAGCUUGAGUAUGGUAGAGGGGAGCGGAAUUCCUGGUGUAGCGGUGAAAUGCGUAGAUAUCAGGCGGAACACCGGUGGCGAAAGCAGUUCCCCAGAUCAAUACUGACGCUCAGGCGCGAAAGCGCGGGGAUCAAACAG